CCUACGGGAGGCAGCAGUCGGGAAUUUUGGGCAAUGGGCGAAAGCCUGACCCAGCAACGCCGCGUGAAGGAUGAAGUAUUUCGGUAUGUAAACUUCGUAAGAAUAGGAAGAAUAAAUGACGGUACUAUUUGUAAGGUCCGGCUAACUACGUGCCAGCAGCCGCGGUAAUACGUAGGGACCAAGCGUUGUUCGGAUUUACUGGGCGUAAAGGGCGCGUAGGCGGUGUGUCAAGUCAGUUGUGAAAUCUCCGAGCUUAACUCGGAACGGUCAACUGAUACUGUCACACUAGAGUACAGAAGGGGUAAUCGGAAUUCUUGGUGUAGCGGUGAAAUGCGUAGAUAUCAAGAGGAACACCUGAGGCGAAGGCGGGUUGCUGGGCUGAUACUGACGCUGAGGCGCGAAAGCUAGGGUAGCAAACGGGAUUAGAUACCCCGGUAGUCCUAGCCCUAAACGAUGUAUGCUUGGUGUCUGGAGUAUUAAUUCUCUGGGUGCCGCCGCUAACGCUUUUAGCAUACCGCCUGGGGGAGGUACGCACGCAGUGUGAACGUUAAAUAGUAAGUUAGACGGCGUGUAAGACGUGUUCCGAACGGACGACGACGAAGGGGAGGUUAGG
rnacentral:rRNA from 1 species